rnacentral:rRNA from 1 species
UACGAAGGGGGCUAGCGUUGCUCGGAAUCACUGGGCGUAAAGCGCACGUAGGCGGCUUUCUAAGUCAGGGGUGAAAUCCUGGAGCUCAACUCCAGAACUGCCUUUGAUACUGAGGAUCUUGAGUACGGGAGAGGUGAGUGGAACUGCGAGUGUAGAGGUGAAAUUCGUAGAUAUUCGCAAGAACACCAGUGGCGAAGGCGGCUCACUGGCCCGUAACUGACGCUGAGGCACGGAAAGCGUGGGGAGCAAACAGG